AGAGUUUGAUCCUGGCUUAGGAUGAACGCUAGCUACAGGCUUAACACAUGCAAGUCGAGGGGCAGCAUUGGAGUAGCAAUACUCAGAUGGCGGCCGGCGCACGGGUGAGUAACACGUAUCCAACCUGCCGCUUACUCGGGGAUAGCCUUUCGAAAGAAAGAUUAAUACCCGAUGGUAUAAAGAGUUCGCAUGUUCUCUUUAUUAAAGAAUUUCGGUAAGCGAUGGGGAUGCGUUCCAUUAGAUAGUUGGCGGGGUAACGGCCCACCAAGUCUACGAUGGAUAGGGGUUCUGAGAGGAAGGUCCCCCACAUUGGAACUGAGACACGGUCCAAACUCCUACGGGAGGCAGCAGUGAGGAAUAUUGGUCAAUGGACGAGAGUCUGAACCAGCCAAAAGUAGCGUGAAGGAUGACUGCCCUAUGGGUUGUAAACUUCUUUUAUAAGGGAAUAAAGUGAGGGACGUGUCCCUUUUUGUAUGUACCUUAUGAAUAAGGAUCGGCUAACUCCGUGCCAGCCGCCGC
rnacentral:rRNA from 1 species